rnacentral:rRNA from 1 species
UGGGGAAUAUUGCACAAUGGGGGAAACCCUGAUGCAGCGACGCCGCGUGAGCGAAGAAGUAUUUCGGUAUGUAAAGCUCUAUCAGCAGGGAAGAUAAUGACGGUACCUGACUAAGAAGCCCCGGCUAACCACGUGCC